GACGAACGCUGGCGGCGUGCUUAACACAUGCAAGUCGAACGGAAAGGCCCUGCUUUUGUGGGGUGCUCGAGUGGCGAACGGGUGAGUAACACGUGAGUAACCUGCCCUUGACUUUGGGAUAACUUCAGGAAACUGGGGCUAAUACCGGAUAGGAGCUCCUGCUGCAUGGUGGGGGUUGGAAAGUUUCGGCGGUUGGGGAUGGACUCGCGGCUUAUCAGCUUGUUGGUGGGGUAGUGGCUUACCAAGGCUUUGACGGGUAGCCGGCCUUAGAGGGUGACCGGCCACAUUGGGACUGAGAUACGGCCCAGACUCCUACGGGAGGCAGCAGUGGGGAAUAUUGCACAAUGGGCGGAAGCCUGAUGCAGCAACGCCGCGUGCGUGAUGACGUCCUUCGGGUUGUAAACCGCUUUCGCCUGUGACGAAGCGUGAGUGACGGUAAUGGGUAAAGAAGCACCGGCUAACUACGUG
rnacentral:rRNA from 1 species